rnacentral:rRNA from 1 species
AGAGUUUGAUCCUGGCUCAGGAUGAACGCUAGCGACAGGCCUAACACAUGCAAGUCGAGGGGCAGCGGGGAGGUAGCAAUACCUUUGCCGGCGACCGGCGCACGGGUGAGUAACACGUAUGCAAUCCACCUGUAACAGGGGGAUAACCCGGAGAAAUCCGGACUAAUACCCCAUAAUAUGGGCGCUCCGCAUGGAGGGUCCAUUAAAGAGAGCAAUCUUGGUUACAGACGAGCAUGCGCUCCAUUAGCCAGUUGGCGGGGUAACGGCCCACCAAGGCGACGAUGGAUAGGGGUUCUGAGAGGAAGGUCCCCCACAUUGGAACUGAGACACGGUCCAAACUCCUACGGGAGGCAGCAGUGAGGAAUAUUGGUCAAUGGUCGGCAGACUGAACCAGCCAAGUCGCGUGAGGGAAGACGGCCCUACGGGUUGUAAACCUCUUUUGUCGGAGAGUAAAGUGCGCUACGUGUAGCGUAUUGCAAGUAUCCGAAGAAAAAGCAUCGGCUAACUCCGUGCCAGCAGCCGCGGUAAUACGGAGGAUGCGAGCGUUAUCCGGAUUUAUUGGGUUUAAAGGGUGCGUAGGCGGCACGCCAAGUCAGCGGUGAAAUUUCCGGGCUCAACCCGGACUGUGCCGUUGAAACUGGCGAGCUAGAGUGCACAAGAGGCAGGCGGAAUGCGUGGUGUAGCGGUGAAAUGCAUAGAUAUCACGCAGAACCCCGAUUGCGAAGGCAGCCUGCUAGGGUGCGACAGACGCUGAGGCACGAAAGCGUGGGUAUCGAACAGGAUUAGAUACCCUGGUAGUCCACGCAGUAAACGAUGAAUACUAACUGUUUGCGAUACAAUGUAAGCGGUACAGCGAAAGCGUUAAGUAUUCCACCUGGGGAGUACGCCGGCAACGGUGAAACUCAAAGGAAUUGACGGGGGCCCGCACAAGCGGAGGAACAUGUGGUUUAA